UGUGUGUGGUGGAAUGGCAGUGUAUUGUUAGCUGGAUGAGUAUCUCAAUGCCCCCAGCUGACAUUCAGCUGCCAAUCUACGGCACAUA
rfam:Anolis carolinensis chromosome 2, whole genome shotgun sequence.